CGUUUAACUAUGAUUAUUGCAUGGCCAUUUUCUUGUGAAAUAUUAGUGCUAGGCAUUUCACACUUACCAAUGACCACCCCCAGAAGUACCAUCUCUGAACCAUAGAAGCACCUCAGAAUAGCCAAAGCUUUUAUGGUUUGGUAGAUAGCAGUAUGGCGAAAGCGUCGUUUUUGGGUGUGGUCAGUUUCGGACGUUUCGCCCCGGAUUGGGGUUCGGGCAGCGUUACCAUGUUGACCGUCAUGGUCAACUUACCCUAAAACAGUUGAGAUUAUCUGUCCUAAAUGAAAUGCAUACAAACUCAUAUACAGGUCCUAGACUACUAGUUUUUCAGCAUAUAACUCCUCCCAGUGUAGUAUAAUACUGUUUUAGGAGUAUUUCAUUAAAGCAUUAAACCGAAAAACAUAUAAAUAACACUCUCUCUGAAAACUGUUAGACAAAUUUUAACUUUUUAAAAAUUAAAUUAAAUUUUACAUAAUAUAAUACUUAAAAUAUAGUUUUAAACUUUUAAUGAUAAAUCUUUCUUAGGAAUUUUUAUGCCAAUUCUAGUAGACGUUGUACAUUAAUAUCUCUAUUUUUAUAAUCUUGUAAACUACAUAUGUAAUUCAGUCUUUUGACUGCAAGAUGAUGUUUCAAUAAACUAUUAAUCUAUCUUUCUCUAUCUAUUUUGAUAAAUUCAAAAUAAAUAAUUAAGCAAUAAAUUUGUCAACUGUUCAUCAUUUUCUCGAAAAGUCAUCAACUACCUGGCAAAGUGUUACUCAAUUUCUUUCAAGGAAAAGGAGAUUCCAAAUCCAUCCAAACUUCCCUGAAAUCCAUUGCUCCUCACGCAUUCGGUAACCCACCCAUCUACCAUAUCAUAUGGUAAAGAUCCGUAUGGUGAUUGUCUAUACAAUGCCCUAGUCGAAUUGUCCAGCCAGUGCAUGUUAAAGUGAUGCAGUUGUUGAAAAACUUGCUGAACAGUGUUGUUGACAGUACAUGUAUAUCUGAAACGGUAAGAAUGGAAAAACUAUUUUGCCCUGAACUUUUUUAUAUUUGGACUUGUUGUGAUUCUAUUGAAAAACGGUAAAAAUUCUCAAGACGAUUAAACUUAUUUCGCUAAAGAUCUGUUUCAUGAAGUGGAUCGCAUUUAUAAUACAAA